GCCGAUGUAGCUCAACGGUAGAGCACGGCUUUCGUAAAGCCGGGGUUGUGGGUUCAAGUCCCACCAUCGGCU
rnacentral:tRNA from 3 species